rnacentral:lncRNA from 1 species
CCACGGAGCUGUCUCCUUCCAGUCUACCGGCCAAUGACACCAUAGAGCCUGUGACUCAGCGGCCCGACUGCCCGGCUGCACUCCUGAGACAUCCCCGCCUGCUCAGGCGACUCCCAAGACCCUGAGAGACCUGGAUACUGAAGGGGAGGAGGCAGGAAGCCAGGAAACACCACAGAUGAAGCUUCCAGGUGAGAAGUACGGGGCUUCACAAUUGAGAAUCAGAGUGAAAAGGAGAAACUGGCCUUUAUUGAUUAUCGACUAUUAUCAGUCAUUCUUGGAUAAGAAAGGAUCUCUUUUCUUGUCUGCUGCCAUGUGAGAUGUGCCUUUCACCUUCUGCCAUGAUUGUGAGCUCUCCCCAGCCACGUGGAAGUGCUGAGAAUUCCCUCUGCAGCAACCCUGACAAAUGAGCAUGGAACUUCAGGGAAAAUUUCUCCAGAAUAGUGAAGCUCAUUACCAGAGACCCACCCAGACAGCAAGAUGAAGCUUAACAAAAAAUAAAGGAAUGGCCUCCACUUGGAUUCAAAAUGAAAACUGCAAAAAUUUCAAGAUAAAAAGACCUCCAUAAUGAUAAAGAAACAACCUACAGCAAAAACCUUCAGCUGAGCCCAUCUUAUUUCUGCCACAGAAUUUUAGAAUUGGGUGUACAUGCACCUCAGCAGUAUUCUGAGCACCUGAGCAGUAUUCUUCCCUUUGAUAUCUACAGAAUUUUUUGGCCAACAUGUUUCCAGAAACAGAGAACCAUUCACGACUUUCCAAUAAAGCUAUUCCACAUUUAGACAAAUAUAUUCAAUGUUAAUACUAAAAGCUGCUCCCUAUUCCAAAUUCUCACAUCAUGCCUUAACUCUUGUCUUUGGGACAACUUAGACUGUUUAUUCCUUAACCACAAACAGUCCACCACAUACUUGAGGAAGAUUCCCAUAGCUACAGAACUCAACUCUUUCCCAAAUAAAAUUUACCUUCACUUUUCCCGGCAAGACAUUGAAAUCAAUUACUCUUCCCUGGUAGAAUGGAACUUCUAUGAGUAAAUAUGGGGCAUGCAUGUCAAGGAAAAGGUGGAUGUUAGCUUAAACAAAGAAGUGAGAUCCUGGGAGAAGUUCAACAUAUUGCAGUAUUUACCCUGAAAGACACUCAGUCUUAAAUAAAAAUAAAUCAAAUAUUUUAAUCUUCUUUUAACUCAUUCAUCCCAAUAUGACAAUGAAUUUUCAUAUAUCACUUUAAAUUCAUGACACACACAAGUCAAAUAUUGAACACUGAUUUUGAGUCAUUGCAGGGCACAAAAAUUGUGAGCUCUUUCAGACCCAAAAUAACACUACACAACCAAAUGCCCCCGUAACAAUUUUUCUCACAGUUAAUUUUAAGUAGUACUCAAAGACCAGUUAUAAAGCAGAGAAAACAGCAUCUUUUGCUAAGCAUUGCCAAGUUAGAAUACACAAGAAUAGAUGCAAAGAAUUCCACCAACCUUUGAGGGCUGCAAGGUUGCUGAAAGCCUUUCAGAAAACCCAUGGCCUAAAUCUACAGCCCAAAUGCAUUGCCAUAGCAUACAAUAAGUGGCUGUGGCAUGAUCAGUGAGGAGAGAGAGGACUCUGAUCAGUGAUUCUGAAGACAUCCCAGAGCAGGAAACAUGGAGCGUGGGUGGGCACCCACAAUCUCCCUGACAUAGGAGUCAAGCUGGCUCUAUGGAUUGAGCCCUGCUUCCCUGCCUGACAACAUCUCUGGAAGCAAAGCAGCAAACUUCCAUAGGCUU